rnacentral:rRNA from 1 species
AAUGAACGCUGGCGGCAGGCCUAACACAUGCAAGUCGAACGGAUCCUUCGGGAUUAGUGGCGGACGGGUGAGUAACGCGUGGGAACAUACCCUUUGGUACGGAAUAGCCUCGGGAAACUGGGAGUAAUACCGUACGUGGUCGAGAGACGAAAGAUUUAUCGCCAAAGGAUUGGCCCGCGUUGGAUUAGGUAGUUGGUGGGGUAAUGGCCUACCAAGCCGACGAUCCAUAGCUGGUUUGAGGGGAUGAUCAGCCACACUGGGACUGGGACACGGCCCAGACUCCUACGGGAGGCAGCAGUGGGGAAUCUUAGACAAUGGGGGAAACCCUGAUCUAGCCAUGCCGCGUGAUCGAUGAAGGCCUUAGGGUUGUAAAGAUCUUUCAGGUGGGAAGAUAAUGACUGUACCACCAGAAGAAGCCCCGGCUAACUCCGUGCCAGCCGCCGCGGUAA